AGCAUGGGCACCAGGUUUCUUUCCUGGGUUGCCCUCUGUCUUCUGGGGAUAGCCUCUGUCUUCAUAGAUCACACCGAAGCUGGAGUCUCCCAGUCCCCCAGUUACAAGGUCACAAAGAAGGGACAGAAUGUAACUUUCAGGAUAAACUUCCAUCAGACACCUCAGGGAUGCCUCCUGAAAGGUUCUCUGCUGAGAGGACUGAGGGCACCUUCUCCCAUCUGAAGAUCCAGAGUGUACAGCCAGGGGAUUCUGCUGUGUACCUCUGUGCAAGCAG